GUGGGGAAUAUUGGACAAUGGGCGAAAGCCUGAUCCAGCCAUGCCGCGUGUGUGAAGAAGGUCUUCGGAUUGUAAAGCACUUUAAGUUGGGAGGAAGGGCAGUAAGUUAAUACCUUGCUGUUUUGACGUUACCGACAGAAUAAGCACCGGCUAACUUCGUGCCAGCAGCCGCGGUAAUACGAAGGGUGCAAGCGUUAAUCGGAAUUACUGGGCGUAAAGCGCGCGUAGGUGGUUUUGUAAGUUGGAGGUGAAAUCCCCGGGCUCAACCUGGGAACUGCCUCCAAAACUGCAUGACUAGAGUACGGUAGAGGGUAGUGGAAUUUCCUGUGUAGCGGUGAAAUGCGUAGAUAUAGGGAGGAACACCAGUGGCGAAGGCGACUACCUGGACUGAUACUGACACUGAGGUGCGAAAGCGUGGGGAGCAAACAGGAUUAGAUACCCCUGUAGUCC
rnacentral:rRNA from 1 species